GAAGAGAGCUGAGGGGAUGAAAGGAACCCAGAACAGUCGCUAGCUGCACUCCCAAAACUAAAAGAGACUUAACAGAUGAAUGAGCGAAGGAGAAAGGAUCGAACCACAGUGCCAGGAGACCGAGUGUCGGGCAGGAACAAAGAAGGACAAAGGAAUAAGGUACCCCACUCCCUCUUCUCCCUCUCAGAAAAGAAUUAAAAGAAAUUAAAAAUCAAGGAAAGAGGAGCGAAAGCGGAGGUGCGGGGGGUGACCUGUUAAAUAAAGAGGACUGUGGAUCUAUGUAAAAGAAACAAAUUUAAAUACUGGAACUAUAGGAAAUAUUUAAGAUCUUAGAACGCUGAAACUCACUUGGAAAGGUGCCAAAUUCCAGAGUGAGGAAGGAAAAUCAGGAGGAGGAGGGCUGACCUUGAGGCCCAAACGAUAGACUAAACACGGCCAUUGCGUCACCGAGACAGCCCAGAGCCCAGAGCCCCGGAUGCAGGAAGGAGGCGGAAAAAACUCAACGGAAGAAGUAGCAAAGAGAAGAAGCAAGAAGGGCAGCUGGGACAGCAUUCCAUAGAGUCUCGGGAGGAUAAAAGGUAAACAGGAAGGUACGGAAGUUGAGGACGGAAAGACGAGAGAGCAGUGAAAGAAGAAAGAAAGACUUGGUGGUAAACUCUGAAAAAGAAGUAGAAGGAGGCGUAAGGGGACGCGAAGAACACGGAGAGGCAAGUGACGAGGACGAGAAGCAGACGAGGCGGAGAAGGAGGAGAAGGAGGACGAGAAUCGGACGGAGUGACCGAGAGAGCACGCCAGGGCGAGCGGGGAAACGAGGACGAGAAGCAGACGGAGCGGAGGAGUAAGGAAAGAAGGAGUGGACGAGGACGAGAAGAAGACGGGUGACAGUGAGAGAAGAGGAGACGGACGAGGAAGAGAAGCGGACGGGGUGGCAGAGAGAGGAGAGAAGGGUGAACGAGGACGAUAAUUAGAUGGAGUGACGGAAAGUUGAAAGCAGAGAGAAAGACAUGAAGAACAGUUGAGGAAAUUUGGGAAAGAGGCUUAAAGUAUUAAUCCCUCCACAAGAGAUUUGGAUAAGAUCAUUAAUUAUAAUAAUAAGAAUUAUUGUUAACGACUUUACACUUGAAUCCAGUUCAUUGAGAUGGCAACUCCAAAGGCGAAGAUGGAUGACAAGAAAAUCUCCUCAAGAAAAGGAUCAAUUCCGGAGGAGGUAAAUCUGAAAGGUAUUAUGAGGGAACUCCAGAGGAUUGUCGAUAACCAAAAAAUGUUUCAGGACCAGAUGACAACGAUGAAAAAAGAUUUAACAGAAGAAUUUACAGAAAUGAAAAAGGAAAUGAAAGACUUGCAGGAAGAUAUCAAAGAAAUAAAAGAAGACAACAAAAAACUAGAAAAAAGACAAGAAAACUUUAAAACAAAACUAGAAAAAUUAGAAUUAAAAAAUACUAAAUUAGAGGAAAGACAGGAAAGACUAGAAAUGAAAGAAUUAGAGUUCCAAAUAAGAAUAAGAAAUAUAGUAGAAGAACCGAAAGAAAAUGUGAAGCAAAUUGUAACUCAAAUUCUAGCGGACUUGCUACAAAUACAAGAUGAAGAAAUGGAAGAUAGCAUAGAAAGAGCUUUUAGAGUAACAAGAAACCUUUCAAGGUAGCAAGAGAUGUAGUGGUCCAUUUUGAGAGAAGGAAAACUAGAGAGGAAGUGUUGAGACUAAGUAAGAAAAACACCAUACGAUUUAAAGGACUAAAAGUAACAAUCCUUAGGGAGCACCCAACAAGUACAAUGAUAAAAAGGAAAAAAUAUCUCUUUCUCACGGAAGAACUUAAAAAGCGUCAAAUUAGAUUCAGGUGGGAAAGACGAGAAGGAAUUAUGGCCACCUAUAAGCAAGAACAACACUGGAUCACCACAGAAGAUAAAGCUAGGGACUUCUACAAAUAUUAAUGAAGGAAAAAACCAAACCUAACCCAAACAUCAGCCCUUCGGAAGAAGAAGUGGAAAGGGAAAAGAAAAGAGCCAGAGCCAUUUCCCCAGAAAAAUACUCCACCAAACUCGCCGCACAACCACAAAAUUUGAUAGACUUAGAAGAAAAAGAGGAAAAAGAAGACUAAGAAUAGAACAUGGAAAUAAAAUGUCACUCAAAUAACAUCAAUGGACUAAAUAUACCGAAUAAAAGAAUUAGAUUAUUUAACCACUUAAAGAAGUCGAAAUUUGAUUUAAUCGCCCUCCAAGAAACACACAUUUCCCACAGACACACUGCAUUAUUAUCCAAUAAAAGUUUAGGUAUUGAAUUUUCCUCUUCAGCAAAGGAAAAAAAAGGGGGAGUAGUAUUAUACAUAAAUGAGAAAUUGAACCCAGAAUUAGCAUUUAAAGACGAAGAAGGCAGAUGGGUAGGUGUAAAGGUCAGGAUAGGGAAUCAGACAACUCUAAUUUGCAAUAUCUACGCGCCCAAUGGAUCAAAAACAACCUUUUUAGAAAAUCUAAAAAAGAAAAUAGAUGAACAAGACUUUGAGGAAUUAGUAAUCUUGGGGGAUUUCAAUGGAAUAAUUGACCCAGAUUUGGAUAAAAAGGGAGGUUCCUCAAUUCAAAAAAGAAAGAAAACACGAUCAGGCAAAUUACCAGCAAAAUUUGUGAAGGCACUGCAAGAUUGGGGAUUAAAAGAUGUAUGGAGGGCCCACCACAAUAAGGAAAGAGACUACACCUAUUUUUCCAAUAGUCACAAUAGUUGGACAAGAAUAGAUAUGGUCUGGAUGACAUUCCCAAUGCUUCCUAAAGUCACAAAAAUAAAAAUUCUUCCCCGAUAUAUUUCGGACCAUUGUCCAAUAGAAUUCACAAUCAAUAGGACACAAAGAAAUUUCAACUGGAAACUUAAUGGAAAUCUCAUUAAAUCAGAAGAAGAUAUCAUAAGAAAUAAAAAAAUUCUCAAGGAAUUUUUCGAAAUAAACAACACAACUGAUGUCCCCCCACAAAUAAUUUGGGACACAAGCAAAGCAUUUAUGCGUGGACACUUUAUCCAACAAAGUGCCCAGAAAAAUAAAAUUAAAAAUAAGUUAAGAAAUAAGUUAAAUGAAGAAAUCCAUAUUAAUGAAAAAAACCUAAAACAAGAACCAACAAAUAGGAAAGUAAAACAAGAAUUGAAAAUUUUGCGAAAACAAAGAGUUUCUAUAGAAUUAGAAGAGACAGCCAAAAAACUAAAAUUUCUAAAACAACAGCAUUUUCAAAAUGCUAAUAAACCUGGAAAAUGGCUAGCUUGGAAACUUAAAAAGAAAAAACAGGCCAGAACAAUAACAGAAAUAAAUUUAGAUGGGAAAAGAUAUACAACAGAACAAGAGAUAGCGGCCCAAUUCAAUAAAUUUUACAGUAAAUUAUAUUCCAAAGACCACAUCAGUAAAGAUAUAAUACUCAAAUUUCUUUGUAACCAAAAAAUGUCUAAAAUAUCAGAAAACCAGAGAGAACUAUUAAACAAAGAAAUAACGGAAAAAGAAAUCCAAAAAGCAAUUAAAAAUAUGGAGGGCAACAAAGCACCAGGUCCUGAUGGAUUAAAUGGAUUAUAUUACAAGACUUUUGCGGAAGAAACGAUCCCUUUUCUAAAAAAAAUCAUGAACGAAAUUUUAGAAAAUAAGAAAAUACCAGAUUCAUGGCGUUAUGCCACAAUAACAGUAAUCCCAAAAGAAGGACAAGACCCAAAAAAUGUCAAAAAUUAUCGACCCAUAUCCUUACUAAAUUCGGACUAUAAAAUCUUUACAAAUAUAUUAGCAGAGAGAAUGAAGGAAUUUCUGACAGAUUGGAUAGGGGAGGAACAAACAGGCUUUUUGCCCAAAAGACAAAUGAGGGAUAAUGUGAGAGAAAUUAUAGACAUAAUUGAACACUACGAAACUACCAAAAAAGAAGAAUUGGCUCUUCUAACAAUAGACAUGGAAAAAGCCUUUGAUAACCUUAAUUGGGACCUUUUCAAAUUAAUGAUAAAAGAAUUGGAUAUGGGAAACAAAUUUACUAACGCGAUUAACCAAAUUUAUUACCAACAAGAAGCUAAAAUAAAAAUAAAUUCUCUUGAAUCCAAAAAUUUCGAAAUUCAGAAAGGAACUAGACAAGGCUGUCCUCUGUCCCCUCUCCUAUUCAUUUUUUCAAUAGAAUUACUAUUAAACAACAUUAGAAAGGACCGCCAGCUAAAAGGUGCUAACAUUAGGAAAUACAAUUAUAAAAUUAGAGCAUUUGCUGACGAUUUAAUUUGUAUAAUAGAGGACCCAAUAAAGACAAUAAACCAUUGGCUAGCCAAAUUUAAAGACUUCGAAGAAAUAUCAGGAUUAAAAAUUAAUAUAGACAAAACUAUGAUAUUAACAAAGAAUAUGACGAAUACCAAACAAAAAGAAUUGACAAAAAUAACAGGUAUCCAAAUUAAAAAAAAGAUUAAAUAUUUGGGAAUAAUAUUAACUGCCAAAAAUUCCCAACUCUUAGAAAAUAAUUAUGACACCAAAUGGAAAGAGAUUAAAAAGGAAUUAGAAAAAUGGAAGUAUCUAAAACUAUCACUUCUAGGAAGAAUUGCUGCAGUAAAAAUGACUAUACUACCGAAAAUGAUAUUUCUUUUUCAAAACAUCCCAAUUAUAAGAAAUUCCCAAAGAUUUAAAAAUUGGAACAAGGAUUUAAGUAAAUUUAUCUGGAUGGGGAAGAAACCUAGAAUUAAAAGAAUUUAUUUGAUGGAUGAAAAAAAAAGAGGGGGAUUAGGCCUACCAAACCUUCAACUUUACCAUGAUGCAUGCGGGUUAAUGUGGGUAAAAGAUUGGGCCACACUCCAAAAAACAAAAAUCAUAACACUAGAAGGGGCGGACUUAAGAACAGGGUGGCAUGCAUACCUAUGGUAUAAUAAAAAAUUAGUGGAAAAAAACGUCGGGAAUCAUUUCAUACGAUCCUCAUUGCUGAAAAUAUGGGAGAAAUACAAGAAGAAAACACCAUUUGAAGACACCAUUAUGGAUCUCCCCGCUAGAAGCAUGCCAAAGAAGGGAAACGAGUAGUGAAAAUUGGCCAAGAUAUAAAGAUAUAUUAAUUAGAAAGAAUAACUCCUACAAUUUGAAAAGUCAGGAAGAACUGAGCAAACAAUUUACAAACAUAGGAUGGUUUCAAUAUUUUCAGAUAAGAGAUGUAUAUAUGAAAGAUAAAGAACUAGGAUUUGAAGACAAAGAAAGGUUUUGGGACAAGAUAAUGCAAUUGGAAAAAAAGAUGAUAUCUAAAAUUUACACAAAAUUAUUAGAAUGGGAAACAGAAACUGAACCAAUCAAAGAGUGCAUGAUAGAAUGGGCGAAAAAAUUGGGGAAACCAAUACAAUUGGCUGAAUGGGAAAAGAGUUGGAACAUUAGACUUAAAUUCACAUACGCAAUAGACAUGAAAGAAAAUUGGGUAGAAAUGUUUUACAGAUGGCAUUGGACACCACAAAAAAUUGCUAAAUUUAACAAUAAGACAUCAAACAAGUGUCGGAAAUGCGAGGAAGAAGUGGGGACCUUCUUUCACUGUUGGUGGACAUGCAAAAAGGCAAAGUCCUAUUGGAAAGAUGUACAUCAAAGAAUCCAAAAGAUGUUGCAGAUUAGAGUUGAUCUGAACCCAAAAUAUUUCCUCUUGGGGAUGUUAAAUAUAGAAAAAGACAGAAACAAGGAAAUUCUAUUUAAUUAUCUUACCACUGCAGCCAGAAUGAAUUUUGCUAAAUUUUGGAAAGAUAAAGAAAUGCCGGAUGUAAGAUGUUGGUUAACAAAGAUCUGGGAAGUAAUGAAUAUGGAUAAAUUAACAUAUUUACUACAAAAUAACGAAGGCAGACCAAAAAAACAGACAAACUGGGAAAUGAUCAAAAUUUAUUUGAAAGAUGAAGAAUAUAGGGUGAUAAUUUAAAAUAUAUGGAAAAUAAGAUUCACAAAACAAUUGAGAGUACAAACAAAUGGAAACACACAAAAUAAAGACCCCGGAUAGAGAUGGUUGAAAGAAUAAGAAAACUCUGUGAAAUUAUGGUUGUAUAAGUCACUCUGCAAAGAUGGAAGUCAAUUUUUAAGAUUUAGUAUGUUUGUUUUUUGUUGUUUUUUAUUUUUUUUUUCCUUUCUUUUUUCUGGUAUGUUCGUUUGCUCCACUGUUACUAUUCUUCCCCCCUCCCCACUCUGUUCUAUACCAAAUUUAUUUUAAUUGUAUGUUGAAAGCACUAAUAAAAUUUAUUUUAACCCAAACUUUGUGUUAUAUCCUUUGACAACUUUUGCUGCAUCUCUUCUCACUAUUAAUUUCACCACGUUUCUUGUUAUAUUUUCAUUUUCUGAGUAAAACUGCAAUUAUUUGAUGCAAAAUGUCCUAUUCCUGCCCACUGUUGCUCACUCAUCCCAAGAAUUACAAUGUUUAUACCUUCCAUUUCUUGUUUUACUAUGUCUAGCUGCUGCUGAUUCAUGCUUUUCACAUUUCCUGUUCCUAUAAUAUGUGUUGUGCAGUUUUGGAAUUUCCUUUCACUUCUUAGAACAUCAAUUAACAGAACAUCCUUCUGACUUGAGUCCAGUUGCACUACUUAAAGCUGCUCAUCUCCAGAAGUCAGUUGAGUGCCUUUCAACCUAUUCACAAGAAGGAAGUGGUAAAGCUGACUAACUAGCAACAGGUUUUCUGAGAAAGAAGCCAAGCCGUUUGGUUCACACCGGAAGAAGUUGCUGCCUUCAGUUUAUUUGCAGUUCUGAAGAAAGCUAAAUUCUAGAAAUUAAGUGGAUCUACUGCUUUUGGUUGCUACUGAGGAGAGUCCUGCAACUGGGUUGGUUUGACUGGCAUGAAUACAUCUGUAACUGGAACCUAAAUG